AAAUGUUCUCUUUGAGUAUUUCUUCAGUAGGUUUUCUGAAGGAGGAAGCCUCC
ensembl:snRNA U7 U7 small nuclear RNA